GACAGAGGGUGCAAACGUUGUUCGGAAUUACUGGGCGUAAAGCGCGUGUAGGCGGCUCUGCAAGUCGGAUGUGAAAUCCCACGGCUCAACCAUGGAAGUGCAUUCGAAACUGCAGGGCUAGAGUCCUGGAGAGGAAGGUGGAAUGCUUGGUGUAGAGGUGAAAUUCGUAGAUAUCAAGCGGAACACCGGUGGCGAAGGCGGCUUUCUGGACAGAUACCGACGCUGAGGCACGAAAGCUAGGGGAGCAAACAGG
rnacentral:rRNA from 1 species